rnacentral:lncRNA from 1 species
AUUCUCACGUGCUUGUGUUCAAACAUGGUUCGUCUUCUUUCUCCAGUGAGAUGAAGCUAAUGUAUCCUGCCACAUGCUUCAGAAAUACUUAACCUUGUUAUUUGAGAGCCAUGUGUUUUCGUGCGGAGGAUUCCAUUUGGAAUUGUGACUCUGACUGCCUCUAGAACGUGUUGCAUCUGGAAAAUUCACCAAGACUCAAACCAAGACAGAGAAGAACAUGAAUAUGGAAUGAUGAGGAUGUGGCGUAAAUGGAUGUGGACACUGAAGCAGGAUGAACGUCAAGAGGCUCACCCUGGGGUCACAUCCAGCACAGCAGGGAUUAAAAUCCACCGACUUCACAUUUCUAGCCUAUCACUUGCCCUGCCAGCUUACCGUCCACGCUGUCAGGAACAGAAGUCUGGCCGCCUCAUGUGAUUAAGUGUGAAUGUACUCUCUCGCUCCUGAUUCACCAUUCUCAGGGGCAGCAGUGCAGGGAGCCUGGAAUAUGUAUCUGCCUCCAGAGCACACAGAGGGAAACUCACGGGAAAGAGACAGACUCCAGAAGCUGACUUCAAGAUCGGGGGUCACACCUCCUUAAAAACACAGCAGGUCGUGUGAGUUUCCUGUGCUUUGCUUACUUACCAAAUUAUUUACAGAACCUCCGAUUUCC